CAGCAGCCGCGGUAAUGCGAAGGGUGCAAGCGUUAAUCGGAAUUACUGGGCGUAAAGCGUGCGUAGGCGGUGAGUUAAGUCUGCUGUGAAAUCCCCGGGCUCAACCUGGGAAUGGCAGUGGAUACUGGCUCGCUAGAGUGUGUCAGAGGAUGGUGGAAUUCCCGGUGUAGCGGUGAAAUGCGUGGAGAUCGGGAGGAACAUCAGUGGCGAAGGCGGCCAUCUGGGACAACACUGACGCUGAGGCACGAAAGCGUGGGGAGCAAACAGGAUUAGAUACCCCCGUAGUCCCUGUCUCUUAUAC
rnacentral:rRNA from 1 species